UGAAGUGAUUGGUUACUUACCUGGACGGGGUUAAUGGACGAUCAAGAAGGUUCAUGGCCUCGGUCAGUGACGUCUAUUGCACUUAGGAUGGGUGCUGGCUUGAGGUCUCCCCAAGAGGAAGAGCCUACGUCAUGAUCUGUGGUAGAGAGGGAUGCGCAAGUCGCGGCCCCUGUGCCCCUAAGAGGGAAAAAAAUCUUUUGCUAAAGUUCAUAUCCAGUUUUAAACACUGAUCAGACAUUCUUCAAUUCUGCCAGCGGUUUGAUUUUCAUGAAAUCAUUCUUUUUGUCUAGUUUUUGUUUUCAUCAAAUGAUCUGAUUGUCUCACUGGUUGUGGGCAUGCAGGGACAAAACUAUAAGACAUCCCACAUCGGAGAAAAACGAAAUAACCUGUGAGCAAGUGCCUAUAAACAUCGAGCAGACAACAUGGUGAAGGCACGCAGCCGCGCGGUGAGCACAAAGCGAACUAUUCUUUCGCCUUUUACUAAAGAAUACCGUGUGCGCGCCGCAAUCAGCGGCAUACGCUUAUUUUUGGAGGGUUCUUUACAUUUUGUGAAGGACCCUAACUGAACAGUUUAAAGUUAUUCUUCUCUGGAGACAACAAAAUAUAUGGUCUCUGUAUCAGUUUUUGCCCUAGAUUCUUGUUGACGACUCGAAAUGUGAGGGUGUAUGAAGUAUAUGGGUCACAUUAUUAUUUUCGCUUGCUGUCAACACUACCGUUAAAGCCUUUGCAGAGUUACCAGACCACCUGCUCCUAAAGUGCUGAAGGGGAUAAAACUUAGUCAAGACUCAUGAUUAGGGGUGAUCUAGCUAUGUUUCCAGACAUGCGAGCUCUUGUACAGUCGAAAGGGGAUAAUUCAUUUUCACUGAAAUUCACUUUGUGAGAUCGUCAAACAUGGUACCGAGGGUUUCUUUAAAGUAUUACCAAAUCAGUAUAAUCAGUCUCGAAACGAAGUCAUGAUAAUAAGUUCUUGCUUUUAGAUUCCAUCUUUGACUAACAGAGUAAAAGCCUUGAAAUUUCACUUAACAAAAAAGGAGAGCAGUGAUCUACAAGUAUUUAUUCAGUCCUCAAUCCUUAGCUCUGCAACUGCAUCAGUAUCUGACGUAAUAAACAGCAUGUGGUUUGCCAUUAUUUUGUGUCUGAACAAGUUUUAUGGCAUUGUAAUCUGCUGUCAGACAUUGCUUGGUACUGUCAAAUACGCAUAGAUUAUCAUCAAUUGUCACAAGAUUGGGGAUGAUGCAUUGAUCAAGUUGAAUAAGGUCUCGAUACAAAGCUUCGGAGGAAUCUGCCCAAAUUCUCUCACCAAAUCAACCUUUGAAGUUCAUUUUUGGGAACAGAUACUUGGGAUGGAAAUGCUUUACAACCUUCGCUAAUUCUGGAUUUUGAUUCUCUACCAUACAAUCAAUCAGUUUUUUAGGCAUCAACAUAUCUCUACUUGGUAUUAAAUAUAACUCAUUGGACUAGAGAAAAUGUGUGCAGGUGCAUUGGGAAUGCAAUGAAACGUUGUACGUUUAACUUUACAAUCCCACACAGAGAAAAUACAAAGUUUAAGCAAGGAAUGUGUCUAUAAAUAAGAAGCCCGAAGCUACAUGGUUCAUACUUACCUGGACGGGGUCGAUGGGCAAUCAAGAAGGUCCAUGGCCUAGGUCUGUGACAUCCAUUGCACUGAGGAUGGGUGCUGGCUUAAGGUCUCCCCAAGCGGGAGAGCCUGCGUCAAAAUUUGUGGCCGAGGGGGCUGCGCAAGCCGCGGCCCCUGUCCAAUUCUAGCUCAAGACUUCUUUUAAGUCCUAUUUGUAAUUCUAUGGCAACAUUUCCUUGCGAAAUUAUUUUGUUGUUUUUUUUCUCUUUCAUUAUUUGUUGGUUCCGGUCUUAAUCCCCUGUAUUGUGAACAGAAAUUUGUUACACAUGAUGCAUGGUAACUUUGAACUUCCAUGGCUCAUUUUCUUCUCAA